rnacentral:rRNA from 1 species
CGUCAAGUCCUCAUGGCCCUUAUAGGUGGGGCUACACACGUCAUACAAUGGCUGGUACAAAGGGUUGCCAACCCGCGAGGGGGAGCCAAUCCCAUAAAGCCAGUCGUAGUCCGGAUCGCAGUCUGCAACUCGACUGCGUGAAGUCGGAAUCGCUAGUAAUCGUGGAUCAGCAUGUCACGGUGAAUACGUUCCCGGGUCUU